UAAGGAGAAAUAUGGUUAUUGGAGUAAAAGAGGAUUUGAGUUGCAGAUGGGAGUAUUGUCAAAUGCAUGACAUGAUGAGAGAAGUAUGUUUAAAUAAAGCCAAAGAAGAGAACUUUCUUCAGUUUAUCAAAGUCCCUACUUCUUCCACCUUUACCAUCAAUGCUCAUACUCCUACCAGAUCUCGCAGACUCGUAGUACACGGUGGUGGUAAUGCAUUUGAUAUGCUGGAACGUAAAAACAAUCAAAAAGCUAGAUCUGUUUUGGGGUUUGGACUCGACAGCAACUUUUGGAAGCAGUCAGGUCAAGGAUU
rnacentral:lncRNA from 1 species